rnacentral:rRNA from 1 species
UGGGGAAUAUUGCACAAUGGGCGAAAGCCUGAUGCAGCAACGCCGCGUGAGGGAUGACGGCCUUCGGGUUGUAAACCUCUUUUAGUAGGGAAGAAGCGAAAGUGACGGUACCUGCAGAAAAAGCACCGGCUAACUACGUGCCAGCAGCCGCGGUAAUACGUAGGGUGCAAGCGUUGUCCGGAAUUAUUGGGCGUAAAGAGCUCGUAGGCGGCUUGUCGCGUCUGCUGUGAAAACCCGGAGCUCAACUCCGGGCCUGCAGUGGGUACGGGCAGGCUAGAGUGCGGUAGGGGAGAUUAGAAUUCCUGGUGUAGCGGUGGAAUGCGCAGAUAUCAGGAGGAACACCGAUGGCGAAGGCAGAUCUCUGGGCCGCUACUGACGCUGAGGAGCGAAAGCAUGGGGAGCGAACA